rnacentral:rRNA from 1 species
GAUGAACGCUGGCGGCGUGCCUAAUACAUGCAAGUCGAGCGAACAGACGAGGAGCUUGCUCCUCUGACGUUAGCGGCGGACGGGUGAGUAACACGUGGAUAACCUACCUAUAAGACUGGGAUAACUUCGGGAAACCGGAGCUAAUACCGGAUAAUAUAUUGAACCGCAUGGUUCAAUAGUGAAAGACGGUUUUGCUGUCACUUAUAGAUGGAUCCGCGCCGCAUUAGCUAGUUGGUAAGGUAACGGCUUACCAAGGCAACGAUGCGUAGCCGACCUGAGAGGGUGAUCGGCCACACUGGAACUGAGACACGGUCCAGACUCCUACGGGAGGCAGCAGUAGGGAAUCUUCCGCAAAGGGCGAAAGCCUGACGGAGCAACGCCGCGUGAGUGAUGAAGGUCUUCGGAUCGUAAAACUCUGUUAUUAGGGAAGAUCAAAUGUGUAAGUAACUAUGCACGUCUUGACGGUACCUAAUCAGAAAGCCACGGCUAACUACGUG